UUCUUGUAUUCUAAAUCAGUUUAAAAGUGGUUAAAAUUCUAGCCAUUAAAAAGGUAAAAUUUCAAACAGAAUGCAAAUAAAAAUAAAACCUUUCAGCUAAAUAUCAGGUGACCCAAAACAUUUUGGCCUCACUAUGGCCAAGCGCACAAAGUCGACUUGCCACAACAUCAUUAUGUUUAAUACACAUAUAAAUGUGCAUAUGAAUGUGGGAUUGCUGUAAUUGUAGCCCAAAAGUUGACCGCCAAAUAAAGUUUGUUUUGUAAACGCGAGUUGCAGUCCUGUGCUAUGCAAAAUUGAAUACCUCUGCUUAAUGUCAAUAAUUUACAAAAAUUAUUAUUUUAGAAAUGUCUUCACAUGACCAAAUAUUUUGUGCUACAGUUGACAAUUUGCCCCAUAACAGUCAAUUAAAAUUCAUAAUUUAUCAAAGCGUAAUUUGAAUAUAUCAACUACUACAAAACUUUAAAAGUUAUAAAA